AAAUAUUGUUCAAUGUCAAUAUAAUAAUAAUUAUUUAUUAUACCAUAAUUAUAUUAAUACCUAAUCGUCAUCAGUGCGCGCCGGCUGACCGUCGCGACGGAUUGUUAUCGCAUUAUCGCAAUGACAAAAAUAGAAAUUUCCAACAGUCAGACUUUGAUAAACAUUAUUAAUGUUCCGAUUGGCCCAAACUCCGAUUGCCGUGAUGACCGUUUCGUUUUUCGUGUAGCGUCACUAACGUUGUUUACUGUACAGUUACAAAUACAGUACACAGAAUUUACACAAAGUAACGUACAGACAACUGAAGAUUUCUAUAGAAUAAAUGCUUACUAUGUAAUUCUUGACACACUAGUUACAAAGUUAAAAGAAAGAUUUUCGAAUGAUAGUUUACAAAUGGGCGUAUCUGUUGAUAAUUUUUUUCAACUAAAAUUUGAAGAAAGUCAAUUUUUUAUUGAUCAUUAUCAAGGGUUAUUGGAUUUAUCAAAAAUUAAUAUUCAGUCAGAGAUGACCGUGGCAAAAAACAGCAUCUUGCAAUCAGGUGGCCAUAACAAUACCAAUCAGUUCGGCUACAUGUGAACGAAGCUUUUCUGCAAUGCGCAAAGUUAAGACAUGGUUAAGUUACGCACGAGAACAACAACUUUUCAACUUUGUCAGUCGUGAGUCUUGACCGUUUCUCCGUCAACACCAUGUCAGUCUUAGAGAAAAUGCGCUCGCAUGGAACUGAUGUGGCUACAACGCAUAACCUACGACAAACUAAUUGGUUCAGCAAUGUAUCGAUCCAAUUCUAAUAUACCAGCUACUGUCACAUUCGAACCACCACUUACUGCAAUAACUCUGGUAUCAAAAUCCUUCC